rnacentral:lncRNA from 1 species
AUGAGUCGGGGUGAGUACUCCUCUCAAUUUUCCACCUCUGAGCUGUGUGUUGCAGGAGAGGGAGGUUCCCAGCUGCAUCUCGUUGGCAAUCAGCGGGCCCGGCCACAUAAGGAGGAAGGAGAACACACCUCGACACCAGAUGAUUACUACAGCUUGGUUUUUGGAACGUCUCUGAUUCUGCGACUCCUCAGGAUUACUCACCCGUGCUUCAUAGGAUUUCUGGAAGCAGCUCUCAGCCGUUCUCCAUUCCUCCUUACUGACCCACUCAUCUGCCCUCCUCACGCUACCUCUCCUGGACCCCUCUCUUGGAUACUCCCCGGCUCUCAACGUGCCCUCCCUCAUCCUGGUGCUUUCUCAUCUCCCAGUUGCUGGCAGACUGGAGGAGCUGAGCACGGGAAGGAGGACGGAUCCGGUCAGGUGGGUGGUCAGGGAGAAGUGGACGACCAGAGACUGGCUGGGAGACAGAGGAACGGGUCCGGAUGGGUUGCAGCACCCUGAUGGCCUGUGAGGUUCUUCAUCUCCUCACGCUUAGACUACUGUAACUCUCUUUUCACGUGUCUGAGCAGAACCUCCCUGAACCGUCUACAGGUGGUUCAGAACGCCUGUGCUCGGCUUCUGACCAAGUCCUCCACGGCUCGACUUAUGAUGGUAUGUGUGAAGAGGGGUAACAUAAAAUAUGUAAUGUUACGUGAGAUGUUACGUCCAAAAUAAAGUGUUUUAUAGUUUCAAGGAGACACAAAGAGCAACCAGAUGUUAGUAACGUGAACCAAGGGAGGGCGGGCUAAACGCCGUCUAACACAGAGGAUCUGAAUGUGUAAGUGUUUUAAGCCAGGCCACCGGGCUAACUCUAGGUGUUAAAUCUCAAGGCCUUGGGAGUUCGGGGGGUGGGGGUGGGGGGUCCAGAAGAGGGAGGGGGGCGUUCAGGCCCAUUACAUCUAUCACAGUUUACUGAUCCCAAUGCAGAACCGUCUCUGCCCGAGAUCCGUGAUGAUCUGGAGAUCUGCAGGCCGUCUGGGUCUGUUGUCUCUCUGACUAACACGUCCGCAGCCCAAAUUAAACGAAUGCUGAGCAGCUGCUCUCUCCCGCAGCUGUCAGUGACACAAGGGAGGGGAGGAGAUGGAGGCUGUCCUGGACUGUCGCUGUCCGUGGUGCCAGUCAACUUCAGGGUUCAUUUCAAGAUCCUGGUUCUGGUCUAUAGGGCCUUACAUGGACAAGCACCAUCUUACAUUGGU